UACGAAGGGUGCUAGCGUUGUUCGGAAUUACUGGGCGUAAAGCGCACGUAGGCGGACUACUAAGUCAGGGGUGAAAUCCCGGGGCUCAACCCCGGAACUGCCUUUGAUACUGAUAGUCUCGAGUACGGAAGAGGUGAGUGGAAUUCCGAGUGUAGAGGUGAAAUUCGUAGAUAUUCGGAGGAACACCAGUGGCGAAGGCGGCUCACUGGUCCGGUACUGACGCUGAGGUGCGAAAGCGUGGGGAGCAAACAGG
rnacentral:rRNA from 1 species